AUGUGGAGCAGAGAUCCCUGCAGGUGGCUUGGCUGCCUCAAAGUUCAGGACCGCUUCUAGCAUAGUUAAGGGAGGCUCUAACAACAGCAACCAAUAGUUAUAGUGACACAACAGUCUUAGCAGCCUCAUUGGGAUAGCCUAUGGAACACCUGGAAGAGUGCCAGCAGCACUGCUCCAAUCCUCACUGUGAGUUCUCUAGAGCUCAGCUGUACAGUAAGUAUAAGAAAUACAUGUGCUCUUAAGGCAGCCAGGCUGACAAGUACCUAUGUUCAAAUUACGCUCUAAUAUUUGUGUGCCUGCAUUUCUCUCUCAGAAUUUUGAAGAAGACUUGACAAACAUGGAGAAAACCCACUUAAUAAAAAAAAGGAGUGCCAGGUUCUGGGAUUCACCAUACCACAUAUUUUCAAAGAUAUCAAUAAAAGGUUGUUUUAAAUAUCAUCUAGAUAGAAGACUGUUUCACCCACCCAACUGUGAUCACAGAACUAGAGAACUAUCAGUGAAGGAGACAGGUAGGAACUUUGGGUGGCACUCAUCAACACCUGUAUGCCUGCUGGAGCCUGGAAGACCAUCAUCAUACACAUAACUCACCAG